AAAGUUAAAUUAUAUUACUCUCAAGUCAUUACAAAUAUAGGUGAUGAUUUCAUUGAAGUCCAGUGUUUUAAUGAAGUACAUAAUCAAUGAGGGUUUUUACUUUUUAUUUGGAAAUAAGACAUGGAAGUUGCAAAGAUAGACUACUCCUAUAUAUUCCUCCAACUUUCCCCAAUGAUAAUAUCUCACACAACCAUAGAUUAUCAAAACCAGAAAACUGACCAGGCACAGUGGUGUGCCACUUAUAGUCCCAGCUACUCAGGUGGCUGAGGUGGGAAGAUCCCUUGAGUUCAGGAGUUCAAGGCCAGCCUGGGCAACACAGUGAGACCCUGGCUCUAUAAACAAAAAUGGAAGAAAACCAGAAAACUGGUGUCAUCAAUUGUGUUUAAGGAAACCGAGGCUCCUUUAAAAGUUUGUUAUAAAAUUAUAGAUAUCUCAUAAAUAUUGAGGUGGAAAGAUUCCCUGGAAGCAGCCUAGUCAGAAAGUGAAGACAGUGACAUCCAGAUAGGUUAAUACUUCUGCCAGCACCAUAAUUACACUCUCUUGGCUGUACAUUCCAAUCACUGGAAGACAGGCAAAACUGAACCACUGGCUGGGCCCACCUUAAAUCAGUGACAUCAACCUCUGCAGGCAAGGCUCAAGUAUCAGUACGUUUUAAAACAACUUUGCCCACUGAAGGUUCACUUAAUCAACUGAUAAGGCCGGGUGCGGUGGCUCAUGCCUGUAAUUCCAGCGCUUUGGAUGCCUGUAAUCCCAGCAUUUUGGGAGGCCGAGGCGGGCGGAUCACCUGAGGUCAGGAGUUCAAGACCAGCCUAGCCAACAUGGCAAAACCCCGUCUCUACAAAAAUACAAAAAUUAGCUGGACGUGGUGGUGUGUGCCUGUAAUCCCAGCUACUGGGGAGGCUGAGGUGGGAGAAUCGCUUGAACCCCGGAGGCGGAGGCUGCAGUGAGCCGAGAUCGCGCCACUGCACUUCAGCUUGGGCGACAGAGUGAGACUCUAUCUAAAAAAAAAGAAAAAAAAAAUCAACUGAUAACAGGCGAUUAACAGGAGAAAAGGGAUACAUAACACCGGGGUAAAAGCAGGAGGAUGAUUACCCAGUAGCUUAAUGGAGUACAGAAGAUUUUAUAUCCUUUUUUCAUAGGGGAAAGGGUAGAUGAGAAAUGUAGACAUUUAUUUUGAGGAGCAGCAAAUGAUUAUUAGGAACAAUGAAUGGACAGAAAUUAGUAAAUAAUUUUCUUUUGCGUAAUCUUGUGAAAAAGUCCCUCCAGGCAUGGCUGCAUUUCUGAGUCUUUCUGAAAUACGAUACGAGAUUUCAGUGAGGGGAGGAAUGCGAUUGAUUCUUCUACAAAGAGGCUUCUCUAGUCAGGGAAGGAAAUUUCAGAGAGUACCUCCCUGCACUUGGGAAAAGUGGGAGCAACAAGUCAAGGUUGGGGGACCUGCAUUAUGAGGCAGCUUCUAAAGCCUCUGUCUUUGGGGUAUCGCUUUCUGAGAGUCAAGAGUAAAACGUGAUGCAUUCCUUUCCUUCCAACCUAGAUUCUAGUAGUUUAGAUCAGUAUCAUUGUUUUUACUUCAAGGUUCAGGAAACGCUGGAAAUUGCUAGCUAAUAUCACAGGAAAAAAACAAAAAACACGAGGUUGACUUCACCCUACCCGCGGUAGGUAACCAUGUAUGAAUAGAGACUCCCAGGCAUAAUCAAAUUACCUCUGUCAAGUCCUCGCCCUAAGACUAUUUUUGGAAACUAGGGAUUUUCCAGAUUACUGAAAGCCGUGGCGGUGUCAAAGGCCGGGCAGGAGUUUCGCAAGCAGAGCUAUGAAAGCAGCCACCCUCGCGGUCAUUCCUAUGCCUCCGCCCUACUUCCCCAUACUGGCAAAAACACGCUCCCCGGGGAGCUUUCAUUUGGGAACCGAUAGGGUCCACAGCCCUGUGUUCUUCAAAUACUGUAAAGCAGCCCUCUCCAGAUUCCUUGAGGGUCACUUUAUAUUACACAUUCGUCCACACACGACAACAAAGUCACCACUUCCACCCGCCAAAGCGCGCUCAGGUCGGCCGCCACUUCCCUUGGUACACGCGGAACGCAAGCCGCGCCGAGGCUAAAGGAAGAGGCCGGAAUGCAGGGCGAAGGGGCGCAGAGAUGCUAGCCAAUGCUGCCACCUGUAUUUUGGGUAUAAGGGAUCUUGUAAAGCUCCGUUAUUCGUGUGGCUAAGUAUCACAAACAAGGUGGUUUCGACCGGCCUUGGCUAGAGAAGGCCUCCUUAGCCUCUGAGGAUCCCAAGGUCUGUCGCAGCACCCAACACUCCCCUCGCAGGCCCAGAUGCCGAGGGCGGAGGCGCGGCCUGGAGGGACUAGUUGGCGCGCGGCUGCCCGGCGUGGUGACGUCAGGGCGGAAGCGCACGCGGCGUGAAGCGGCACAGAACCCGGCGGUCACGGGAAUAUCCGUCGCGCCGAGAACGCUGGUUAGUCUUGUUUCGGGUUCCGGCUGCGUUAGGCUUGCGUGCGGCUCGCUAAGACUAUGGCGUCCGGGCCUCAUUCGACAGCUACUGCUGCCGCCGCCGCCUCAUCGGCCGCCCCAAGCGCAGGCGGCUCCAGCUCCGGGACGGCGACCACGACGACGACCACGACGGGAGGGAUCCUGAUCGGCGAUCGCCUGUACUCGGAAGUUUCACUUACCAUCGACCACUCUCUGAUUCCGGAGGAGAGGCUCUCGCCCACCCCAUCCAUGCAGGAUGGGCUCGACCUGCCCAGUGAGACGGACUUACGCAUCCUGGGCUGCGAGCUCAUCCAGGCCGCCGGCAUUCUUCUCCGGCUGCCGCAGGUGGCGAUGGCAACGGGGCAGGUGUUGUUUCAUCGUUUUUUCUACUCCAAAUCUUUCGUCAAACACAGUUUCGAGAUUGUUGCUAUGGCUUGUAUUAAUCUUGCAUCAAAAAUCGAAGAAGCACCUAGAAGAAUAAGAGAUGUGAUUAAUGUAUUCCACCACCUCCGCCAGUUAAGAGGAAAAAGGACUCCAAGCCCCCUGAUCCUUGAUCAGAACUACAUUAACACCAAAAAUCAAGUUAUCAAAGCAGAGAGGAGGGUGCUAAAGGAGUUGGGAUUUUGUGUUCAUGUCAAGCAUCCUCAUAAGAUCAUUGUUAUGUAUUUACAAGUCUUAGAAUGUGAACGUAAUCAAACCCUGGUUCAAACUGCCUGGGUAGUCCAUGAUGGUAAGUCAUAGAACUCUGCCCUCUGCACUUCAGCCCAUGACCUCAGGAUGGCCUGAUUGGCUACCCUGCUCUCCAGCCAAUCCAGUGCAAGCUCUCAUCCGAGAUUCACUGAAGUGGUCCAUAUCCAUCUGGCAGCAUCUUCUAGUUCUGUCGGGGUGUCAAAAGGAUUUGUAUAUUUGCUUCUAGAAGUAACUAUUUGACAUGCCUAUGUAUUUAAUGUAUACUUGUAACUAUCAAAAUGAAUAGUUCAUUUUUGAUAGAUUUGUUGUGCAGCCAUUAUGAAUUAAAUGGUUUCUUAUUAGGAGUUUGACUAAAUUUUUAUUUUUAGUGUGUAUAGCAUGAAUACUACCAAAGGAGACGACAAACUUGCAGCUUAAAAUGGGCACCAGUUCCCACACUGGCUUAAUUUAUAUAACUGCUUGGCUGUAUUGCGGGUAAUAAUAUUAGAAGCAAGAAGCACUUCAUUUUUAAAAGAGAUGUUACUAUAAUAUUGCUUAAAUGCUUUAGCACUUGGACUUCUUGAGAUGCAGAUGUGUGAUUUGGAGUGCUGGCUUAUUUAAAGGUCAAGCCAAGGAGUUUGUGGUUCAGCCACAACUACUGUUUCCUAAGACUAUUGAUGUGAAGGACUUAGUGAAGUAAUUUUUAUAUUCUGGGCUUCCCAGCAAGAUGUCCUUUUUAUGACUGCCAUGCUUCUUUUGGAUUCAGUAAAUAUUUGUAAUGUUAGAAAAGUCUCAUUAUUUUUAUAAAAUGCAUGACAUUUUAAGUAUGUGUUGCAUAAAAUGGAUUAUAGCAGUUCUCAUGGUUUAGGAUUUUUAAGAAAUAGUCCAUUUAAUUUCAGCUUAACCUUUUAAAUGAUCUGUAAAAUUUCUUUGAUAGUUUAGGAAUGUUGUGGGGAGGGUUCAUUAAUAAAAGUUCAGCAAUUUUUUAACUGAAAUAGUUUAUCUCUUUUACCUAGUCACAAAAAAGGUAUGUAAACAAGGCCAUUAUAUGUGUUUAUUGCUCUUUAUUUCCCUAUCUAGAUUUUCUAAGUAUCUUAGCUUUCUUAAUAUAAGUUUAACUUGGUACUUACUGAAAAUGCCUUUUUACCCCUGUUAACGGUAUUUUGAGCUUUUGGAAAGAACUUGGUUGACACUGCUUUUAUUGUGGAUAAAGGAGAGAUGGUCAGUAAUUAAUGGCUUGAAGUAUUAUUGGAGUGGUUUAUCAUUUCUGAAACUAAUCGUGUCAGAAUUGACUUUGAAAAGCAUUGCUUUUUACAGAAAUAUAUUAACUUUUUAGGAGUAAUUUCUAGUUUGGAUUGUAAUACGAAAUAAUUUAAAAGGGCUUCGCUCAUAUAUAGGAAAAUCGCAUAUGGUCCUAGUAUUAAAUUCUUAUUGCUUACUGAUUUUUUUGAGUUAAGAGUUGUUAUAUGCUAGAAUAUGAGGAUGUGAAUAUAAAUAAGAGAAGAAAAAAGAAUAAAGUAGAUUGAGUCUCCAAUUUUAUGUAAGCUUCAGAAGAACUGGUUUGUUUACAUGCAAGCUUAUAGUUGAAAUAUUUUUCAGGAAUUACAUGAAUGACAGUCUUCGAACCAAUGUGUUUGUUCGAUUUCAACCAGAGACUAUAGCAUGUGCUUGCAUCUACCUUGCAGCUAGAGCACUUCAGAUUCCGUUGCCAACUCGUCCCCAUUGGUUUCUUCUUUUUGGUACUACAGAAGAGGAAAUCCAGGAAAUCUGCAUAGAAACACUUAGGCUUUAUACCAGAAAAAAGCCAAACUAUGAAUUACUGGAAAAAGAAGUAGAAAAAAGAAAAGUAGCCUUACAAGAAGCCAAAUUAAAAGCAAAGGGAUUGAAUCCGGAUGGAACUCCAGCCCUUUCAACCCUGGGUGGAUUUUCUCCAGCUUCCAAGCCAUCAUCACCAAGAGAAGUAAAAGCUGAAGAGAAAUCACCAAUCUCCAUUAAUGUGAAGACAGUCAAAAAAGAACCUGAGGAUAGACAACAGGCUUCCAAAAGCCCUUACAAUGGUGUAAGAAAAGACAGCAAGAGAAGUAGAAAUAGCAGAAGUGCAAGUCGAUCGAGGUCAAGAACACGAUCACGUUCUAGAUCACAUACUCCAAGAAGACACUAUAAUAAUAGGCGGAGUCGAUCUGGAACAUACAGCUCGAGAUCAAGAAGCAGGUCCCGCAGUCACAGUGAAAGCCCUCGAAGACAUCAUAAUCAUGGUUCUCCUCACCUUAAGGCCAAGCAUACCAGAGAUGAUUUAAAAAGUUCAAACAGACAUGGUCAUAAAAGGAAAAAAUCUCGUUCUCGAUCUCAGAGCAAGUCUCGGGAUCACUCAGAUGCAGCCAAGAAACACAGGCAUGAAAGGGGACAUCAUAGGGACAGGCGUGAACGAUCUCGCUCCUUUGAGAGGUCCCAUAAAAGCAAGCACCAUGGUGGCAGUCGCUCAGGACAUGGCAGGCACAGGCGCUGACUUUCUCUUCCUUUGAGCCUGCAUCAGUUCUUGGUUUUGCCUAUCUACAGUGUGAUGUAUGGACUCAAUCAAAACAUUAAACGCAAACUGAUUAGGAUUUGAUUUCUUGAAACCCUCUAGGUCUCUAGAACACUGAGGACAGUUUCUUUUGAAAAGAACUAUGUUAAUUUUUUUGCACAUUAAAAUGCCCUAGCAGUAUCUAAUUAAAAACCAUGGUCAGGUUCAAUUGUACUUUAUUAUAGUUGUGUAUUGUUUAUUGCUAUAAGAACUGGAGCGUGAAUUCUGUAAAAAUGUAUCUUAUUUUUAUACAGAUAAAAUUGCAGACACUGUUCUAUUUAAGUGGUUAUUUGUUUAAAUGAUGGUGAAUACUUUCUUAACACUGGUUUGUCUGCAUGUGUAAAGAUUUUUACAAGGAAAUAAAAUACAAAUCUUGUUUUUUCUAAA